rnacentral:rRNA from 1 species
UACGGAGGGUGCAAGCGUUAUCCGGAUUUACUGGGUUUAAAGGGUGCGUAGGUGGAUUGGUAAGUCAGUGGUGAAAUACUUUCGCUUAACGAAGGAACUGCCAUUGAUAUUACCAGUCUUGAAUACAGUGGAGGUAGGCGGAAUGCGUCAUGUAGCGGUGAAAUGCUUAGAUAUGACGCAGAACACCAAUUGCGAAGGCAGCUUGCUACACUGUUAUUGACACUGAGGCACGAAAGCGUGGGGAUCAAACAGG